rnacentral:lncRNA from 1 species
GUUUUGGUAACAAAACAUCUUUGAGACCAAAGACUCAAGUCACAGAGGAAAAUGAAGGCCCUAUAUCAGGCUGCUGGUCGGAUUCUCAUUACUCUGGGGAGUCUCAGCGUAUUCUCUGGAGUUAUUGCUUUUUUCCCUGUUUUUUCUCACAAGCUCUGGUUCACUGGAUGGAGUGUCCAUAUUGCUUGUCCCAUCUGGAAUGGCGCUUUGGUAGGAUCAUAUUUUAUUAAGUAUUUUGAGAGAAUAAAGGGAGAUGGGAGGGAGAGGGGGAAACAGAAUAACGUGUCCUUUAACAUUUUCCUGACAAUACAAAGAAGUCAAAAUUCUGCAGAAAACCAGAAUUCACCUUAGUACGUGGAUUUGUAUUAGUUUAUAUAUAUUAUAUGCCAAAAACUCUUGUUUAAAUUUUUUAUGUCCUUGAUGAACACAAAUACCUUUAUUUUAUUGAUUUAUUUUUUGUGGUCGAGGAUCGAACCCAUGCCUCAAGCAUGCUAGGUAGGCAAGCACUCUGCCGUUGAGCUACAAGUGCAGCCCAUAGUUAUAUUUUAAGUAUUGGGGUUUUGUUUAUAAUGUUUUAAUAUGUAUGCAUAUUUAUUGUGUGAAUCAUAAUGAAAUGUUUAAGAAACUUAAAAUUUUUAUUUUAAUCUUCUUACCUUGAUAUUCUGAGAAAAUAGAACUCAUCCUUUUGAAAUUCAAUUUACAGAUUUAGAAAAAGGCAUAAACCAUCAUACAAUUUAAAAGUGUAGAAUGAAGUAAAAUAAUUUUCAAAUUAAUAUUUCCUUAGAAAUACCAAGGUGGGCCUACAUGACCCUAAAAUUUGCAAGCCCCAAAGCUUUGUUCUCCUGCGACUUUCUUUGUACCCAACUGUUUGAACUGAAAAUAAUUCAAGAAGUGGGGUGUUGGGGGCUGGGGUUGAAGCUCAGUGGUAGAGUACUAGUCUAGCACACACGAGGCACUGGCUUUGAUCCUCAGUACCACAUAAUAAAUAAAUAAAUAAACAGACAAACAAACUAACAAAUAAAUAAAAUGUAUUGUGUCCAUCUAUAAUUAAAUUUUUUUGAACAAUAAGGCAGUGGGGUGUUGAACUUCACUGACUUCACAAUUUGCUAGGAAAGUAUGUAUGCACCUAGUCAAGUGUCUGCACUAAGUAGAUGCUUAUUUAGUAAUCUCACAGAUAAGCAACUGGCUUACCUCAGCUCCCUGAUCCAACAAAACAAGUACAACCCUCCUUGGGAGGAAAGGACUUCCACGGCAGCAUGACUUAACAGGAGUGAUGAGGGUCCCUGCCUAGUUUCUCUCCUUAUUUCCCAUGAGAUAUAUUUUCUCAUUAUCAAAUAUUCUUAUCUUCUACCAGUUACUGGAGAAUUCCAUUCUGAAGUUUUUUGAUCUUAAAGAAAUUUCUAUUAAAAUAUAGCUACUCUUGGGUGGGCUAACAUCUUAAAUCUUUAAAUAAUUGACUGGGAUGCUAUCUAAAAGUAUAACCUCUGGAAACAUAAUGUUUAACUUACUUAUGAAAUAAGUAUUUAUUGAAGAACUAUGGCAUUUGGGGGGAUUCAUAGGAAGAUCCAUCCAAGUCUUGGUCUUAAGUAGGAAUUCUGCCUUUAAUAGUGUGUGGACACAGGAAGCAGGGUGGGUGGGAGGGAAACUGAAACUUGGGUGGUGUUUUCUUUCUUCUUUUCUUUUAAAAUACAUUCUUUUACAUAUACUUCCCCCAUCUAGACCUUCCCUUCCUUUCCCCAGCACCUACCUCAAACCACACUUUCAUUCAAAGAAAUGUUUAUUGAACUAAAUACAGCAAUGGCAAUUACAUUUAUUCAAGCAGCAAUUUUUUUUUUGUUGGUGACCCAGAAUAAGAAAAAUAUUUCACACCAGGACCUGGAAUAUACAUAAAGAGACUUAACAUCUUUCUUUCUAGAUGAAUAUCGAUUUACUUAUAUCAAUAUGUGUAACAAAACUUUCACAAUACUGGGUUUUUUUAUAUGAAAUGUAUGCUGGUGAUUUUUAUUCCACUUAACUAUUUUAUUUUACAUUUCUUCCCCUUUUUGGGGGGGAUGGCCCUAGGGAUUGAAUCCAGGGGCACUACACCACGGAGUACAUUCCCAGUCCUUUUUAUAUUUUCAUUUUGAGACAGGGUCUCCCUAAUUUGCCCAGGCUGGCAUCAAACUUGUAUCCUCCUGCCUCAGCCUCCCAAGCUGCUGGGAUUACAGGUAUGCACUACCACACUCAGCUCCUAUUUAAUUAUUUUAGAAUGACUAUUAGAUAGCUGAUCCCCAAAGUUUAACAAAACUAUGAAUGUAGUCCAACCCUCCAUCCUUUUCUUUUGGUCUUUGCCUAUCCCUGAAGAGUCUGUCAAUAAAUUCAACAAAUAUUGGUAGAAUUCCGAUUAAGGUUAUAAAUACUGAAUGUAGACUUGUUCUAAGCCAAACAUCUAUUUUACCAAUAGGCCCAGGGAAAUGACAGUGUCUCCUCCAGCAGGCAGCUAGUUGAUGGCUGUUUGAUUUCAGGGGCAGCAGCGUGGAGAGGUACAGUGAGAGACAUAGGAUUUGGGGAGGUGGACCUAUGUUCAAGUUCUGACUUAAUGUUGGUACAUGAUCAAACACAGGACCCUCUGUCAGUCACUUCCUCCUUGCCUUGACCUAUAAUAAGAAUUUCAUAGGUGAGAGGAAGGCAUGUGGGAAACUGUCUAAACCUAAGCUGUUCCAUGAGAACAAACACAAAUUGAACAGAUUGUGUCAUGGAGAGCUUUGCCAAUUUUAAAGCUCUACUCAAAUGCUAGUUAAUACUCUGCCUUUCAUUGGUGCCCUGCUCUCUGUCCAAACUCUUUGUUAUUGAUCCCUUGCCACCCGCCUCACUGUCCUGUCCUGUUUCCUGAUGACCUCCUAAGUCCCCCACCCUUAACUCCUGGACCUCAUCACACAUCACUCUUUUUUCCUCCUCCUCCUCCUCCUCCAUCUCCUCCUCUUCCUCCUCCUUCUUUUUCUUUCUAUCUCUCUAUCUCUAUCUCUAUCUCUAUCGCUUUCUCUCUUUGUGGAGCUGGGAAUUGAACCCAGGGGUGCUCUGUCACUGAACUACAAUCCCAGCCCUUUUUUAUUUUAAUUAGGGUCUCACUAAAUUGCCAAGAAUUUGGAAUCUUCCUGCUUCAGCCUCCAGGAUAGCUGGGAUUACUGGUGCACCACUGUACUUUGCUUAUUGUUUGACAAAUGAAUAUUAUACAAGGAUAGGGAUAUAGUGGGCUGGGGAUAUAGCUCAGUUGGUAGAGUGCUUGCCUCACAUACACAAGGCCUUGGGUUCAACCUCCAGCACCACAAAAACAAGGACAGGGAUACACACACACACAUACACACACAAUCCUAUUUUGUUUACUGCUCUAUCUCUAUCCAGAGUCACAUACUGGGUUUUCAAUAAAUAUUAUUUGAUGAAUACUGUUGAGUAAGUGCAUGAAUCUAUGCUCUCCCUUCUGGUGGUACAGAAUAUCUUACACAGUCGAACUCUGACUAGGUUGCAAGGACUGAAGGUCAAGCUGGUAUUUAUAAUAAAACAGCAAAAAAAAAAAAAAUCUUUGUGAGAAGGAACACAAUGAGAAUGCUCACUCUUCCAAUGAUGUCUAAAUCUGGAACAAGGAGAUUCCCACCCCCCUCCACCACCUUCUGAGUUUCCUAUGGAGCCACAGUUCUAUCUGAUCGGGGUCAACUUCAAAAGUUCUCCACCUCAUUCCACAACUUCCCUUGCCAAUCACUUCAUUUGCCUCCAAAUAUGUCUUCCUCUGGUGAAAAGAUAAUUUGUACAAUUCAAUCACAUCAACAUUUCCUUUUGCAAAUGACUCCAUAUUUCUUUUGAAACUGUAAGAUAGAUUUUGCAUGCGAUACAGUACCUGUAUUUGUUCAACACCUUUUAGUCAAGACUUUCUAAGUACUCCACAAAUAUGAGGCUUCAGACUCUAACUCCAUUCUGACAGCCACAUGACACAUACUUUUCCCAGAAUCUCUGAGCUAGGUUAUUUAAAGGCAUCAGCAGCUGGUAAGUAUGCAGAGAGGAGAUCUUUGUGCCUUAAGGACUGAGCCCCACUAAUCCUGGAAAAUGUGGCUUGCAGAUGAAACUCUGCUGAAGAGACUGAAGUACAGUGAAUUUGAUCCCACUACCCAGGCCUGGAGAAGCCAGCGAUUUGGCCCAAUGGCAAGUGGCAGCAGUGCACCCAGAACUCCGCUGAGAAACAGGAAUUGGGGAGAAAGGUCAGGGCUCCACUUAGUCACGCAGGCCUCGGUUUCCUUAAGGGUUACAGGAGGGCCUUGAUUACCCAAUCGUUCAUGUCUCUUGAUAGCUUCAACAAUCACAACUCCCAACCCUCGGGUGGUGUCAAAGGAACGCCGGAGCUAGACAGCAGAUAAAUAAAAACAGUUUUAAAAAACAAUAAUAUUGAAAUAGAGAAAAAGAGACCUCAGUAUAGAACUGGGUCCAAUCCCAAAUACAGUAUUAUCAAGUGGGAAUUUAUAGCUCCAAAUCAGAGUGGGGAUCAGUGGAUAGAAAAGGAUCGAGAGGAAACAUGGGUGACAAAGGGAAUUCUGGCUAAAAUGACCUAUUGGGAUCCUGCUGCAGGUGACCAGACAUCUCUGGGGGAAGAUGGAGGAUUAGGAAGCCAAACAGAUUCUGAGUGUGAACAGACAUUACAGAUACUGAGGCUGGGGGUUUCUUGCCAAACUGAUUUGAAUUCUUGUUAAAAUGGAAUCUUACAAGGAAGGGCACAGGGGCCAAGGAAAAGGUUCAGGAACCUAACUAAAGUUUGCUCGAGCAAAGAAUCUUCGUCAAUUUUCUGCUAAGAGAACCUAAGCCUCUUUUCGUUCAGUGUGAUUGAAUAGGAAUUAAUCAUCUUGUCACCAAAACCAAUUCUGUCUUCUCUGACUUCUCUUUCACUGUCUUGGAAACACAGUUUCAAACCCUAGGAGUAGAUUUUUGACUCAAUACUUUUCUCUAAAUUAGCCCUUCUCAAACUGUAGAAAUCACUGGAGGAUCAUGUUGAGAUGCAGAUCCUGAUUUAGUAGGUUUGCUUGGGGCCUGAGGGUCUGCAAGUCUAGGGAGUUCUGGGGAUGCCCUUGCUGCUGGUCCCAGGAUGGCACUUGAGCCACAGUGCCCUUAACCAGCCCAGGCCCAGCCCCAGUCCAGUUAGCUGUCCUGUGACUUUGAUUUUGUCUCUGAGGCAUAUUCCUAUACAUUCCUUCUCCCUGCGCACCUUUCCCACCCUUUAUCACUUCCCACCCCUACUCAGAGGUGGUAUCCAGAUAACUUCAAUAGCCAAACUGUGCCAAUCUCUCCAUUAGUGGAUUUAUAAAUCCAAUCUAUUGAGGAGCUAACAGCAUUUACAACAAAUAGAACAGAAUAGAGAAUAGUAGAGUGUAUAUCACGUAGAGUAAAGGUUAAGUGCUAUUUUUGUUAGAUAUAAAAAGAUUUAUAAGUAGGUCAUGGUACAAGAUAUAUUACUGUGAGCAGAGUUUUUUAAAAAGAGAGAAAGAAAGCCUGAAGAACCAGGGUCCUGCAGAGACCUCGGAGCCUCACUGCAUUCUAACAGGCAUGCGUGCCCCAUCUGGCUCAUCUUUCUAAACCUUCCUGGAAGUCAAGCUAGCUGUUUCUUCAGCAUCUUUUGGCAUUGCUUUAUUAUCCCCAAACAAAAUCCAGACACACUAGCCUAAUUUUUGAGGCCUCCCUACCCUGAUGUCACAUGAUUCUGAACCCCAAUCUUCUCUUAUUCACAGGGAGGGAGGUCUGGGCUCCUUACUCCCUGCUCCUUAAGCAGGAUGCCACUCCCUCACCUGCCCACAUGCUGAUCCCACAGCCAGGACUGCCUGCCCUCCCUCCGUCACCUCCAGAGAUCAUGGGUAUCCCUCAAACUUGCCUCACAUCCUGCUGUUCAUUAUGCCUUCAUCAUGGAUGAAAGUGGUAACUCGUCACCUAGGCUUUUUGGUGUAGAAAAUGCCGUUCCUCUUGCCUAAUUUUGUGGAUAUUCUUAUAUGUGCCUUAUUUUCAUACCUGGGCUAUAAAUGCUAAUGAAAGUUGCAAUUAUGAUUUAUGCAAAUAUGAUUUGGUGGUCUUCCUCAUCUGAUUUAGCCUCCCUGUAUUUCAUUUGAGAAGUGGAGAGAAUGUCUCUGAUAGGGUCAUUAUGAGGAUUAAGCAAAUUAACACAUGUCAAGUUGUUUAGCAUAGUGUCUGCUAUAUAUUAAGCACUCCGUGAAUGUUAACAGUUAUUAUCAUUAUUUUAUCUGCUUUGGGCCCAUCUUAUCCCUUGUUUAUAGUAGACCCACAAUAGAUGCUUAGGCGAAUAAAUUACCCCAUAUAAAUAUGAUGGCUUUAAAAGUUUCUAUUUUUGUUUUGACUGUUCCCAGCUUCCUUCAAUUCAUCUGCUUCUGGGAACUGCAUCCUUUACUUAAGCAAUUUAAAGAUUUAGUGGGAGGACUCACAAUUACCAUGCAAUCAAAAUGUUAGCAGCAAUUGUUGUGAAACCCAAGUUGGUGGAAGUGCCCAGAAAGUAAGCCAAUAGCUGUCGAGAAUAGCUGAGGGAGGAUGGUGCUUUUCUGCUCCUUGCUGUUCACCCUCUCCACUCUGUCUUUCCCCACAGCUGCACUGUGAUUUUUUGACCUCCCAGACACCUUCUCUCUCACCUCUCCCUGGACUUGUCUUGCCUACUGUCAAAUCUCUUCCUUUUUCUUUCAAUUUCCUCCAUCCCUAUCUAAAAAGAAAAUUUGCAUAAAAGAAGUGCAAGAAAGAAAAGGGGACAGCUGUAACUCCUGUCACAGGGGGGAAAUACCCUGCACGGAUCCCCCAUCCCUGGCAAGGGGAAUCAGAGAUGAUGGGCAUACUCAGCCCUUGAGUCACUACCCCAUCCACCAUGCCAUCCGCAGGAUGGAUUUAACAAAAGACUGAACUGCAUUUAUACUCAACCGACUCUGUGAAAGAUCUUUUUCAAAGUUUUGUGUAAACAAAGCAAAAUUCAAGCUGGCAGCUACAACAGAAGUCACAGGCAAUUGCACCUCUGCAGCAUUUUUUCUACGUUUGAAGGGAAAAAAAAACAGCUCAUGCUAAAGUAAUUAAGGCAACCUGGAAUCUAAGCAUCUGAUAAUGUCAGUUAUCUUCUAGUUAAGCCAGCAGAGGGGGGGUGAGGCUGUCUCCUUUGCUUUCAUCUUGCUUCCACAUUUCUCUCUCUGAUUAAUGACAUUGGAGUGAUGUGUCAAUUGAGGGCCAGGCCUCUGAAAGCCUAGCCUAGCCCCAGGCUUGCCCCAUGGCAUCAGUUACAAUUGCUCUUAUUAAUUCUCAGGUUUUGUACUAUUUAUGCAGGCUCAAUCUCCAUAGGGUCCCUUGGAAACUCCUCUUGCAGAAUCAAGCCAGGAAGCUCUUCUGACUACAAAUGGUUCUGUUUUUAUCCAUGGAGUUUUAUGAUAUGGCCAUGCCAAGUCUGGAAUUUCAGGCCCGACUAAUGAGAGGUUUUGUGAGAGUGAAUGUGUGUGUAUUUGUGUGUGUGCGUGUGUGCAUGUGUGUAUGUGUUGCGCUCUCUCAAAUCUCUAAAUCCAACAUUCAAAAUACAAUAUGCCAGAAAAAUGAAAAGCUAAGUCUCCAAACCAUAAAUAUGCCAAAGCUCGAACUACAAACCCUGCACACCACAAAGUCAUAUUGGUAAAAACGCUGAUUUCUCCCCUUGAACUUGCCAGUUCUAUAUGUACCGUUGUGUUUAUCUCUCUAUUCAAAACCAAAAUUUUCCUUUUUUUAGAUCUUUCCACUUUUAAUAUCUUAUUUUAAGCACGCCUCUUCCUGGUUUUCUCUCUUGACCUCAAAACAUUCCUUGGUCAAGCCCAGAAUGAUUUAUAUGGAUUGGGAAUAAGCAAUUUGUAAUCUCAAUAACCACAAAAGUCUCCUGCAUCAGACCUGGUGCUGAAUCAAAGAUGAGCUCAGAGAUCUUUUUUUUUUUUUCCGUUAUCUAUUGCUCAACUCUGGUGGCAACAUUCCCUCCUUUGUUAACCAUUUCCAUUCUGUAUGUUGGGCCUUUCUCCCUCAAUGGUGACUAGAAAGAAAAACUGUCUUUUGAAAAGCUGGACACAACUGCACCCAGAACAAUAAAGGCCACAUCACACAUUCAUUCCAGUGAUAAUCUUUGUUGUUGGAGAAACAGAGAUCGUUUAUUUGUAGCCCAUCAGCAGACCCAGGCCUUGGAAUCUCAGGGGAAAAAAAGCAAGUAGCUAAAGAGAAAUGUCACUGCUGGGAGGGAUCUUAGGGCUCUGUGACAGGUCUCCAUUCUGGUCCUUCCCAUUUGCAAUUUUAGCAAUUUGCAAGAAAGAUGAAAAAGAGCCACUUAUUCAAAAUAAAACAUUCGUCCAGGGGUAUAAAACCAAGCUUGUAUUACGGUGACACGGUAUCUGAGAUUUUCACUGGGAUGGCGAAGGCAAGACCAAGAAUGUAAAAUCGAGCUGGUGUGAAUCAGGUCUUUCUGACAUUAAUGGCUUAUUUUCUUCAUUGUCAUCACAGUUUCUUCUUCAGAGGAAGAGGAGAUCAGAGCCAUAAAUCCAUUUAGCCAUUUGCUGUUCCUUCUAGUUUGUGAUAAAGUCGUCAAACUGUGAGACAGAUUGAACUCUUUCCAGAGGUACCUUCUAUUGUGGAUGUUACUUUUCCAAUUUUCUUUUCACAGGCCAUCACAGCUGGUGUGCUUGUACUGUCAGCUUACAAAGAGUGGACCCACAGACACCUGGUAAACACAGAGACGUUAAGUAGGACAGCAGAGUGGAUUUGAAGGUUAAGCACCACUCAUUUAGGAUGGCACACAGAGAAUGAUUUCCACUUAUCAAGGAAUUUGAUCUAAUUGUGACCGUAUUAUGAUGGAUUUCAGCAAUAAACUUUAUGCUUUAAAUUAAUAUUUUUUUUUAUCUGAUUUCUACUCCAAACCAUUUCUACCAUGCCUUGUAGUAAUUACUGUCUUUGGGGAGGACAGAGUCAAUGGAUAUUCGAGCUCCUGAAUUUAAUUUUGAGAGAACAGAGCUACAGGCUCUUCUGCUUUUAAUAAUUUUUAAUUUGUCUUCCUUCCUUCCUUCCUUUCUUCAUUUCUUUCUUUCUCUCUUUCAAUUUUCUUUAUGAUGCUGGGGAUUGAAUUUAGAGUCUCUCCCAUGCUAGGCAAAUGCUCUACCACCAAGCCAUACCCUUUGCCCUAAAGUAAUGUUCCUUUUAGUGUCAGCUCCUGUAUUAGAGGUCUCCUUCUCAUCUCUCUGUUACUUUUCUGGAAAAGGAUGAAAAAAAUCCAUAUCUGGCAUUUCAACAGUAUAGAGCCAGGUAAUCCCAGUGCGUAGAAAGUCUACCAUAUCCAAUGAUAGACUUUAUUCCCAUGGUUAAGCCUGUGCUUAAUGUAUGUGUGAAUCAACAAGAGAUCUGGCUAGAGUGCAGACAGUGAUUCCACAGAUCUGGAUUAAGGUUGAGAGUCUUACUUUUCUGACAGGCUCACCGGGGAUGUCAAUGCUGUGGGAUAGCGGAUCACACCCCAAGUAGCAAGAGAAGUUCCUAGAGAAGGCAUUCUAUUUUCUAUUCUAUUUUAGAAUUUUAUUUCUAUCUCUAUUCUAUUCUCUCAUCUUGGAUUAUCCCAUCAGAGACUGGUUCUAUUUUUUUUUUUUUGAACUGGGUAUUGAACCCAGGGGUGCUUAACCACUAAGCCAUAUCCCCAUGCCUUUUCAUAUUUUUAUUUUGAGACAGAUACUUGCUAAAUUGCUGAGGCUGGCUUUGAACUCACCAUCCUCUUGCCUCAAUCACCAGAGCAGCUGGGAUUAUAGGCAUGUGCUACCACACCAAGCUACCAGGUUCUCUGUGCAUAUGGGAGAUAAACAACUGUUUGUUGAAUUGAAUUGAUUUCAUUUUUGCCCCAGUUGGCUGACCUGUUUCUCUCCAAAAUGUAAAUUGGAGGCAAGAAUGUGAGAGCCUACAAAGAAAGUUGAAAUCAGAUGCGGUAGCACACACCUGUAAUCCCAACUACUGGGGAGGUUGAAGCAGAAGGAUCACAAGUUCAAGGCCAGCAUCAACAACUUAGUGAGGCCUGGUCUCAAGAUAAAAUACAUUUUACAAAAAGGGCUAGGUACAGUGCCCCUGGGUUCAAUCCUCACUAUCAAAGGAAAAAAAAAUAAAUGAUAAAUAAAUAAAUAAGCAAAUAAAUAAAACAAAAAAAGAUUGUGACCCAAUUCCUCCUUUUCCAGUAGGAGAGAUUAAUACCUGGCAACUCCUUCUUCGCAUUGCUAAAAAGUUUUUGAAAUAGCUCAUCCUCACAUUAACACUUUGUCUCUGUUUUAUUUUCAGUGGGAAGCUAGCUUCACCUUUGUGAUUCUGAGCAUUAUGGGAUGUCCACUUCAUUUUGCAGUAGCCUUGGAAUCUGCUCUCCUUGGUCCAUAUUGCUUCUAUUCAUUUUCAGGGAUCGCAGGGACCAAUUAUCUCGGUUAUGCCAUUGCCUUUCCUUUUCCAUAUGCGAAAUUCCCAUCGGUUUGCGUGGACCCCCUUAACUAUGAAGAGUUCCACCUGACGCUUCAAGUCCUUGACUUGUGUCUGAGCUUUGCCCUGCUCUGUGCGUCUCUGACAGUGUUCAUCAAACUUUCUGCAAGACUAAUCCAGCAUGGACACGUAAAUGUAAGUUUCAGCAAAGGGGAACGUGGUGCUUACGCAAUCCUGAAUGGUAAAACAGAAGGUCUGGUAUAGAAAUACUAAAUCUCUCCUUUGCCAGCAUUUCCUAUAGAACCAUGUUGUCCCGUGUCUGGCACAUGAUAGGUGCUCAAUAAUUAUUUUUGAGUGAACAAAUGGAAAUACGUUGAUAUAAAACUAAAAGCACAGCUAUAGGUAGUACUACCCAAUUUUUGUCUCAAUCGAUAUUAAAUUUUUUUUUUCUAAAAACAAGAUAUGGCUGCACACUUUACCACUUUUAUUUUACAUAGUACUGAAAAUUCUAGCCAGAGCAAUCAGGCAAGAAAAAGAAAAAAUAAAAGUCAUCCAAUCAGAAAAGAAAAACUAAAUUGUCUGUUUGAAGAUGACAUGAUCUUAUGUGUAGAAAACACUAAAGACUCCAGCAAAAAACUGUUAGAGCUGAUAAACAAAUGGAGUGUACUUACAGAAUACAAAAUCAACAUACAAAAAUCAGUUACUUUAAAGACUAGGCAUGGAUCCACCGUACGACCCAGCUAUACCACUCCUCAGCAUUUAUCUUAAAGAAUUAAAGUCAUCUUUCUCUAGUGAUUCAUGCAUACUCAUGUUUAUAGCGGCACAAUUUACAAUAGACAAACUAUGGAACCAACAUACAAGUGUCCAUCAACAUGUGAAUGGAUAAAGAAAAUGUGGCAUAUAUACACAUAUAUACACUGGACACCCACAAGCAACAGAAUACACAAAGUAAUUUUAUUCAGCCAUAAAGAAAAACAAAAUUGUAUCAUUUGCAGGAAAAUGAAUGGAACUUGAGACCAUUAAGUUAAGCAAAAUAAGCCAAAGUCAGAAGGCCAAGGUUUGAAGGUUUUCUCUCAUAUGAGGAAAAAGGGGGGGAAAAAAAGGUAUGUGAUGGGGAAAGGAGGGUGAUGGCCUGAGAAGCAAAGGAGAUCAGUAGACUAGAACAAGGGGACCCACAGGUGGGAGGAAGGAGGGAAGAAGUACUGGGAAGGGUAUUGGCCAGCUUAUAUUGUUACACUGUUUCUUAUACUAAUAGGUAACAACAAAUCCCACCAUUAUAUAUAACUAUAAUCACCAAUGAAAAAGAAAAAAAAAUCAGUUGCUGUAUUUUUGGGUGGUGCUAAAGGAUUGAAACCCAAAGUCUUGAUCAUGCUAGUCAAGUACUCUACCACUGAGCCCAAAUUACAUUUUUGUACUCUGACAGUAAGCAAUCCAAAAAGAAAAAGAAAACAACCCCAUUUAUAAUAGCAUCAAUAAGAAUAAAGGAUGGAAAAGAUGUGUAUACUGAAAAAAAUAUAAAACACUGGUGGAAGACAUUGAAGACACAAAUGGAAAGCUAUUUCAUGUUGCUGGAAUAGAGGAAUUAAUAUUGUUAAAAUGUUCAUUCUGCUCAAAACAAUCUCUAGAUUCUGUGUAAUCCCCAUCAAACCUGCAAUGGCAUUUUUCACAAAAAUAGAAAAAAGCAACCUUAAAAUUCACAUGGAUCCACAAAAGACCAUGAAGAGCUAAAGUAAUGAGAAAUAAAAAAGUUGGAAGCAUCACACUUCUGAUUGUGAACCAUAUUACAAAAUUAUAGGAAUUGAAACGCUGUGGUCCUGGCAAAACCCAGACAACAGACCAAUGAAACAGAAUACAGAGCUCAGGAAUAAACAACUGGUCAAGUAAUAUUUGAUAAGAGUGCCAGAAAUACACAUGGGAAAGUGUAGUCUCUUCAAUAAAUGGUGUUGAGAAAACUGGACACCCACAGGCAACAGAAUGAAAUUGAGCCCUUAUCUUACAAUAUGCAUAAAAUUUAACUUGAAAUGGAAUAAAGACAUAAAUGCAAGACCAGAAGCUACAAAAUUAUUAGAAGAAAACAUAGAGGAAAAGCUCUUUGACAUCAUCAGCCUAAGUAAUGAUUCUUCCAAUAACUACACUAAAAGAGCCGCCAAUAAAAGCAAAGCUAAACAAAUGAGAUUACAUCAAACUGAAAUGCUAUAAUGAACCUAUAAAAAAGGAAAAAAAAAUACUUGCUUUCUUUUUUUGGUGGUGCUAAAGAUUGAAACGCAAAGUCUUGGUCAUACUAGGCAGGGGUUCUACCACUGAGCACUUGAAAGAAACAAUCAAUAAAAUGAACAGGCCUGUAGAAUGGGAGAAAAUAUUUGCAAGCCAUAUAUCUGAUAAGGAGGUAAUAUCCAAAAUAUGUAAGGAACUCAUACAACUUAAUAGCAACGAAACCAAACAAACAAAAAGAUGACCAUAUAGUCCAGCAAUCCCACUUAUGGGUAUAUAUUUGAAGGAAACAAAAGCAUAUCUUGAAGAGAUAUCUGCAUUCCAAUGUUCAUUGCAGCAUUGUUUGUAAUAGCCAAGACAUGGAAACAACCAAUAUGAAUGGACAAAGAAAAUGUGUUGUAUAUUUUCAGAGAAAUAUUAGUCAGCCUUAAAAAAGAAGGGAAUUCUGCCAUUUACAACAACAUGGAUGAAACUUGACCCGUGGUAAGUGAAUUAAAUCAGGCAGAGAAAGACGAAUACCAUAUAACUUCACUUAUGUGUGGAAUCUGAAAGAAUCAAACUUGCAGAAACAGAGUAGUAUAAUGAUUGCUAGGGGCUGGGAGUUGGGGAAAUGGAGAUAUUUUGGUCAGACUAAAAACUUUCAGUGAUAAGAUGAAUAAGUAGAGGAGCUAAUGUCCAAUGUUAUGACUAUUGCUAACAACCCUGUGCUGUAUACAUGAAAUUUGCUGAGAGUAAACCUUAAUUCUUAACACACACACACACACACACACACACACACACACUGAUCAUGUGAGUUGAUAGCUAACUUGAUUGUGGUAAAUAUUUCAAAUCGUCACGUUGUAUACCUUAAAUUAUUACAAUAAAAUAUUACUUGUCAUUUAUAUCUCAAGAAACUGGGAAAAAAACUGAAGUAAAGCACAUCGAACUUUUUAUAAGUAAUGAAUAUGCAUCCCCUUAUCUUUCCUAAGUUUGAGGGUCAUAAGAAAAAAAAUUUCCCUGGGAAAAACAUAGGUUAAGAUAAACUAACCUUGAAUUUUAAACUUAAACUUUUACAUGAUGCUUUGCCAUGUUACUU